rnacentral:rRNA from 1 species
GGCUACACAUGCAGUCGAACGGUAACAGGAAGCAGCUUGCUGCUUCGCUGACGAGUGGCGGACGGGUGAGUAAUGUCUGGGAAACUGCCUGAUGGAGGGGGAUAACUACUGGAAACGGUAGCUAAUACCGCAUAACGUCGCAAGACCAAAGAGGGGGACCUUCGGGCCUCUUGCCAUCGGAUGUGCCCAGAUGGGAUUAGCUAGUAGGUGGGGUAACGGCUCACCUAGGCGACGAUCCCUAGCUGGUCUGAGAGGAUGACCAGCCACACUGGAACUGAGACACGGUCCAGACUCCUACGGGAGGCAGCAGUGGGGAAUAUUGCACAAUGGGCGCAAGCCUGAUGCAGCCAUGCCGCGUGUAUGAAGAAGGCCUUCGGGUUGUAAAGUACUUUCAGCGGGGAGGAAGGCGAUAAGGUUAAUAACCUUGUCGAUUGACGUUACCCGCAGAAGAAGCACCGGCUAACUCCGUGCCAGCAGCCGCGGUAAUACGGAGGGUGCAAGCGUUAAUCGGAAUUACUGGGCGUAAAGCGCACGCAGGCGGUCUGUCAAGUCGGAUGUGAAAUCCCCGGGCUCAACCUGGGAACUGCAUUCGAAA